CAAUAGCGUAUAUUAAAGUUGUUGCAGUUAAAAAGCUCGUAGUUGGAUUUCUGGUGGGAGCGAUCGGUCUGGCGCUUAGCGCGAGUACUUGCAUCGUCUCCGGCCAUCCUUGGGGAGAGUCUGUCUGGCAUUAAGUUGUCGGGCAGAGGAUCCUCAUCGUUUACUGUGAAAAAAUUAGAGUGUUCAAAGCAGGCUUAUGCCGUUGAAUAUAUUAGCAUGGAAUAAUAAGAUAGGACUUUGGUACUAUUUUGUUGGUUUGCGCACCAAAGUAAUGAUUAAUAGGAACAGUUGGGGGUAUUCGUAUUCCGUUGUCAGAGGUGAAAUUCUUGGAUUUACGGAAGACGAACUACUGCGAAAGCAUUUACCAAGGAUGUUUUCAUUAA
rnacentral:rRNA from 1 species